UAAGACAUGAGCUAAAUCCUUCUGAGACUCACUUCCACAAGCAAAAUUCAGGUCUUUUUCAAGAAAACACUGAUAUCAUGCCAUGGCCUACAAAGUUUUCUGUGAUCUGGCUUCUGGCUACUUCUCAGGCAGCCUCUCCUGAACUCUCCCCAUUGACUUGCUCUGCCUCAGCCAUACUGGCCUUGUGACUGACCCUCCAAUAUGCCAGGCAAUCUCUAUCUUGAAUGAUACCGAGGAGAGGUCUUAAGGAAUGCAAUUUAGACUCCUUAUGGUCUACAAGGACAUCACUGAUUUGACUGUUCUGAGAGAGAGAGAGAGAGAGAAAGAGAGAAACAUCUCAUUUCUCCCCUUGUGCCAAAGGACAUGAGAGUCACUGAAUGAAACUGGAGUCUGAUUGGACUGCUCCUUUCCCCAACCUGGGGGAGACAAGGUGCAUUCGUAAAAUGACCACACGAUGAUUUGUAAGCCAAAAAGCAUAAGAAAUGCAUUAUGGGUAAGCAGUUUAUUUUUGUUAUUCUUUUGAAAUAUUCAGCUGGUAUUAAAAACAGAUCUUUUGAGCUGGAACAACAGUGGUACAGGUAGACUUCCUACUUUUGGAAAAGAUCUGGUCUUUAGCUUAUGGGAACCAAGCCGAAGCAGAUGUGAAAAGUUCAACUAAAGGAAGAACAGAUUAAACGCACUUUUGUGGUUGAAAAACCAAAACAGAUGUUAUUAUUAAACCACAAAAACCUGGGUACAUUUAAGUAACACUAGGUGUCUGAAUUUUAAAUUUGGAUUUGA